rnacentral:tRNA from 1 species
GAUAAAAUAGUUUAAAGUUAUAAAAUUCUUAUUUUACACGUAAGAGAUGGAUUGAUUCCUAUUAUCA